UAACAAUGGUACAAAGGGGGGUUGAAAGUAUAAGCCACCAACAUGAACACACUGUAACAGUUAUUGGCAAGAUUAUUGGAUUGUUAUUAGUUUUGUACAAAAUGGGAGUAAAAAUAAUCUGAAAGAGAAUAGCAGCGCCGAAGAAGCUACCGAAGCCAACGCUUGAUAAUCGAGCAGCGAUUUUAGCCUUGUGUUCAUCUUCCACAUCUGCAGGAGGAGCGGAUUCAUUAAGUAUUAGGCUGUGUUCAAGCAAAUAGGGCUCUUCUUCACUAGAAUCAAUGGUGGUAUUUGUUAUGUAGCUAUCUAGGUCAUCUGUUUCAUCCUGAAGAGCGGAUUCCAAUGUUAUAGGUCCUCUCGUGAUAGGGUAGAAUCUCAAAAAAAUAGGGAGAAAGCUGUCAUAGCAGGAUUGAGAUAUAAUAAAGUUCAAGUCGACCAGAAUCAAAAACACUAUUUUUCCCAAAAGAAAACUCGAGGGACUCCACGAAAGUAUAAUACCACUAAUAGAACCUAUGAUAACGCAUGAAAACAAGAUGUAUCUUCUGUUAUUUCCAUAAUCGCAAAUAACACCCAAGCUAACCAUCAUAGCCAUCUGUAAAAAAGUUGAAAUAGCUGAUGCAGCGAAUACAAUAGAACUAACAUCAAUCCAUAGCGGACCAACUAUAUUCAAAGAGCAAGGUUCUUCUGGAUAUAAAGAACAAGGAAUUGUGUGAUCUGUUCUUAAAAAACCAUGAUCAUGGGCAUUUUUCAUAACAAUUAAAGGAACAUACACCCCCAUACUUAUAAUUGCAGUAGGACCUGCCCCAACUGCAUAAAGAAUCCAGCUCAGAACAUGCCAAACUGUAGUGGAAAACUUCUUGUGAAGUUGUAUUGGAGAAUUCAUAUUGAUAGCUCAAUCGUCAAAAACUAUGGAAAUACAAAUUACUGAAGAUAAUAUGAAAACAUAAAUUUUGAAAGGG